GAGGUGGGAGGAUUGCUUGAGCCUGGGGAAGUUGAGGCUGCAAUGAGCUAUGAUUAUACCACUGCACUCCAGCCUGAGUGACAGGGCAAGACCCUGUCUCA
rnacentral:miRNA from 1 species